GAGUUCUUUAGAUGUUGGUAUUUAUGGAUAUUUGUUCAUAAUCAUAAUUGGGGCUAUUUUCAUAUUUCCAGCAAAGAUGCAAAUUUGAGGGUUCCCCCCUUUUUCCUUGUAGCUGUAAAAUAGGGAUGUAAGCUAAACUUAAGAUGAAAUCAAAUUAUGAAAUAAUGAAGCUCAAGCUGAGGUCGCUUUUUUUCAUGCCAAGCUUUAGCUGCACACGUACGACUUAUUUAAAGAAUUGGAGAAGAGAUUUAAGUCAUAGGGAAGCUUUGUAUAAAUUUUUAUAGAUAAUAUUAGUAGGUUAUGAUUGUAUAAUUAAAUUAAAAUUACAAGUGUUUAUUAGCAAAGAGAAACUAAAUUUACAUACACACGUGUGCAUAUAUCUGAUCUUAAGCAAGCUGAGAACAAACCCUGAGACAUGUUAGUCUGUAGGUUGUCUAAUUUUGCCAC
rnacentral:lncRNA from 1 species